rnacentral:lncRNA from 1 species
UCAUCAAAUAAGCAAUCCAAGUCCAAAAAGAAAUUGGGUUUAACCAUAUGACAGCAAGGUUCUCCUAAACCCAAUAAAAUUUCUCCUAACCCAAUUGAGACUUCAUAAGCCCAAUUGUUUAAUCCAGAUCAAAUUCUUUUGUUGUGUGAACUCAUAGAUUCAAUUCUGUCUGGUAGUGAGAUAUACCAUGAUCUCUAUCAUAAUAUCAUUGAAACUCUUUUCAAUAGAUCAGGAUGAUUCUACUAUAAUUCAACAAGGAUCGUCGAUCCAGAACGAUCCUAGUAAGCUCUUACAAUCCAUCAAUAACACCUAGCAAUAUGUAGUGGCAACCUAGCAGAAUCGAAAAAAAUUUCUAGGUGUAUUUUCUACGUGAUUCAAUUUUUCUAUCAUGCAUUUUGAUAUGAUGGUAGGUCAUGGAUAAAUUAUUAAUUCUUAAUAUUAGUCAUAUGAUAGAUUUAAUCAACUCAAGUCUAAUUAUGAUUCUCAUGAAAACUCUUUUCCAUCAAUCACACCACUGUGGCCACAGACUUAUAGACUUAGCCUCUCAAAUCUCAUAGAACCACUCAUCACUCUCAAGAUCGAUGGAUUUCAUCUUGAUGCAUGUCCUGCUCCUACAGUGGACCAAUUAUUGCCAACAUACACUAUAAGAUCUCAAGUGGUUAAGUGGCCAUAUUUCUAUGCAGUCAAACUCCAGUAGCCUUACUGUGAGCAAUCAUGCUACCACAGGUCGAAGGACCACUCACAUAACUAUAGCAUC